GACGAACGCUGGCGGCGUGCCUAAUACACGCAAGUCGAGCGCAGGAAGUCAUCCGAACCCUUCGGGGGGACGUUGAUGGAAUGAGCGGCGGACGGGCGAGUAACACGUAAAGAACCUGCCCUCAGGUCUGGGAUAACCACGAGAAAUCGGGGCUAAUACCGGAUGGGUCAUCGGACCGCAUGGUCCGAGGAUGAAAGGCGCUUCGGCGUCGCCUGGGGAUGGCUUUGCGGUGCAUUAGCUAGUUGGUGGGGUAAUGGCCCACCAAGGCGACGAUGCAUAGCCGACCUGAGAGGGUGAUCGGCCACACUGGGACUGAGACACGGCCCAGACUCCUAUGGGAGGCAGCAGUAGGGAAUCUUUCACAAUGGACGAAAGUCUGAUGGAGCAACGCCGCGUGAACGAUGAAGGCCUUCGGGUCGUAAAGUUCUGUUGUAAGGGAAGAACAAGUGCCGCAGGCAAUGGCGGCACCUUGACGGUACCUUGCGAGAAAGCCACGGCUAACUACGUGCCAGCCGCCGCCGUAAUAC
rnacentral:rRNA from 1 species